CCAAUAUUCAGAAGAAAGUCACUGAUCCUUCCCAUACUCAAAGGGAUUACACAAAGAUGUGAAUACCAGGAGCUGGAGAAGCUGGAAACACUCUAAAGUCUGUCUGCUACACAUCUGUUUUGGUAAAAGGAGUCUCCCCUGGUGCUGUGAGAUUGGUUUUCUGUGUUGGAAGGAGAGCAUGGAGAGCAGCUGCUGUCUCCCGGCCUGGUGCAGAGUAUACAAGAGCACCAAGAUGAUGCUGGUUAAACUUGAUAAUCUCCUGCUGAUGAGAUGGUGACAAGAAAAAAUUAAAGACAAGUAUGAACUUGGCAAAAAUAAACAUAUGCAAGCUCUGGAAACUAGGCAGUAGUAUAAUUCUCACUGCAAGUUUCUGAGUGCUUCUUAUGUGAGGUAUUGUGCCCAGUGCUAUACACACAUUAUCUCUAUUAAUUUUCUCAAUACUGAAAGAUACAUGCUAUUCUUAACCCUCCUUUAUAGAUGGAAAAAUUGAAGACUAGAGAAGAAUAGUGGUUUUUACAAGGGAUUUAGCCUUAUAAAUGACAGAGCUGACAUUCAUCUAGGUUUCUCUGAUUCUUCGAAACUUAGUUAAAGAAAUUCCUGGAAAGUUUCCUUCACAGACCAAGCAUUCUACAAAGAGGUUCAUGUUGGAUUUUCAGUGAGAACCACUGAGUGUAUUCCCUUUGGAAUCCAUACUGCUGCUGCUGAUAAUCAGUCAGG
rnacentral:lncRNA from 1 species